AUAUUAUAUGGAUGGAUCAGAUCAAUGGCACACAAUAUGUACAAAACUAAACUUGUGAUACCUUCUACACAAACUGAUAUUCUCCCACAACACAAAUUGUUUUUGUGUGGAUAUGCUGUGUUAAACCGAACAGUGUGGUAUAUCAUUAACUGUGCACAGGAUUGGAAUUGAAUUAUAUACUUCACUCAUGACCUUCAAAACAUUCUCUACUAUUCAGUGGUCUUUGAUAUAUGAUUGACUCUUCGCUACAGUGAUGCAUGUUCCUUGAAUAGUUUGUGUAUGUUACUCAACAGUUAAUGUUGGCAAGUGUAAACAACAAGUGACAGAACUUCUGCUUCAUAUGAUUACAAUAAAGUUUUGAAAAUGGGUAUGGAUUGACAAGUGACAGUUUACUAAAUAGACACUUCGAAUAUUGUUUGCAUGAAAUUUUUAUUUUUUGACCACAUAAUUAUCCGAGUUACAAUGGGUCGUUCCAGAAAAAAACCGUAUUCCCCCCACAGAGGAAAUUUCUGCCGUCCGGAGGAGGAGGGGAAAAAAUUGUUUCUGAUAAUAGUAAAUGUAUUAGGACAAGCGAAGGGAGUAGGGGGGUUAACUUCCUAUUUCCUCUGUGGGGGUGGUAUGGAUGUUUUCUGGAAUGACCCAAUCGUAAUCACAUAAAAUUAGUUAAAUGUUCUCCACGGGCGGGGGAGGGGGGGGGGGGAGUUGCCCCUGCUGCCCUCCGUGCUGUCACACUGAUAAGAAGGUACAGCAGAAGUGUAAAUCGAGUCGGUUCCCUUAUUGUUUUACAUCCACGAAAAUUUUAACUCGCUCACACCAUCCUGGCUAGUACAACCGGAAGUUUUUAUCAGGUUUUAGUAGAUGCUAAGUGCCGGUUGUACUAGCCAGGAUGGCGUGAUUGAUGACGAAUCACUUAUAAAAACACGGACAAAUACUUACUUGAGUUACACUUCUGCUGUACCUUCUUAUUCUGUGGUGUUGUCUACAGCCUUGUUAAUUUGUACUAUGUUUGACUUUAAAAUCUUAUUUGCUAUUAUAUUUGUUAUAAUAAGUGAUGAAAAUGUGAAUCAAGUUUUUUCGCAGAUACAUGUACGCGUCGCGUACCUAUUUUUAUAGUUUAUUAAACUUUACUAAAACAUAAUACGAGAGUUUUAGUGUGCCGA